rnacentral:lncRNA from 1 species
GGGGAAGCUGUGAUGGCAAUGAGAAGUCAACACACUGAGGAUGGAGAGAAAGAAGAUGAGUCUGGGAGAGAAAGAGAAUGAUUCUUCUGGCCGAGGGAAAGCAAGAAUAUCUGUUCCUGCAACUGCACUGAUUCUAGAAACACUCUCUAUUCGAACUCUCAUGAGUGUUCAUGGAUGCCUUUGAAAUUUGCCAAUAAUGAAAAAACUGAGGUAUAGGAUGAUACAACUGGGCCAGGCAUGGUGGCUCACAUCUGUAAUACCAGCACUUUGGGAGGCCAAGGGAGGAGGAUCACUUGAACCCAGGUGUUUGAGACCAGCCUGAGAAAAACAGGAAGAACUCAUCUCUACAAAAAAAUUAUCUAGUGCUGACCUGCUUGGUGAAUGCUGGGAUCUCUGGAAGAGGGAGGCAGACAUCACACACCAGCUGGCAAGUGGGAGCUGGCAUGCAACAUGCCCCAAUACCACUCCCCUCCUGCCAUCCCUAUCUCCUAAUGGUGCCUCCUUUUGGCCAAACCCACCUUUGGCUGGAGGGCAACAGAGCCCAUUGACGUGGUCCCCUUGCAUCUGCUACCUGGGGAGAAAAGCAGGAUGGACACUGAAUCUAGAGAAAUGAAGAAACCCAUCCAGAAGAAUACUGCUUCUUUAUGUUUUUGUAGAGCGGCCCAGCCCUUGGAAUGUGUUUCUGCCACGACAAGGAAUACAGGAGGAGUUGAACAGGAAACCUGCCUCCUAUCAGAUUCACCUGAGGACGUGGCCUGUGAGCUGGCACUGGCGGCAUGAGGAGCACUGGGCAUCUGACAGGGUUGUCACGAGCUCCCCAAACAAUAAAGCACUUUACGACAUAGGAGGCAUUAUUAUUAAGCUGUUUUCAGUCCCUGAUACCUGCAUGUUGUAGGACCAUGGUGCAUGAAGGAUUUUAAGGAGGCACUUUUGAAAUGUGAAAGGGACAUAGACUGUACAUCUGGAGCACAAAGGCAGGUUUAACCAGCUUUGUCCUGCUCGGCGCCAGUUGGAAGAGAGCAUCUGGCUUUGAAGUGUCUAAAGCCAGGCGUGACGCUGGAUUCUACAGCUGGUAUGUGUUUCCUUAGACUUUCUGAGGGAAAGAGAAAGGAGUGAGAAGGGAAUGUGGAACUAAUUCCCACAUUAAUUGAAGACAAUAAGGAGACAGCAGAAUACUUGCUUCAGUCAUGAGGCCCCUGGAACAGAAGAACUAUGUCACAUACCAAAGGACAGCAUAACCCACAAUAAGCCCCCACCUCAAAACCCACAGACUAUUACCCCAUACUGUGGCAUAAACUUGAGAUGCAUAAUUGUA